rnacentral:rRNA from 1 species
UACGAAGGGGGCGAGCGUUGUUCGGAUUUACUGGGCGUAAAGGGCGCGCAGGCGGUCUUGAAAGUCAGGCGUGAAAGCCCCGGGCUUAACCUGGGAAUUGCGCUUGAUACUCUGGAGCUUGAGUACGGGAGAGGAUAGUGGAAUUCCCAGUGUAGAGGUGAAAUUCGUAGAUAUUGGGAAGAACACCGGUGGCGAAGGCGGCUAUCUGGACCGUAACUGACGCUGAGGCGCGAAAGCGUGGGGAGCAAACAGG